rnacentral:misc_RNA from 1 species
UCGAGCGUCAUUUAAACCUUCAAGCUAUGCUUGGUGUUGGGUGUUUGUUCCGCCUCAGCGCGUGGACUCGCCUCAAAUUCAUUGGCAGCCGGUAUGUUGGCUUCGUGCGCAGCACAUUGCAAGCGACUUCAGCAGACCCCCUUCCACAAGCCUUUUUUUACUUUGACCUCGGAUCAGGUAGGGAUACCCGCUGAACUUAA